GCCUGUCAUGUCUACCUUCUGGUCAUAUUGUGAAGGAUGAAUGACAUGUUCCAGUAUCUCAUAGUGGACGGAACAUGGGAAGCAUUCUAGAUACAUCCAGUGUUACCAAGCAGAUCUUGUCAAGUGCAAAGUGACCUUGAAGGAAACUAGUGCAGAGGUAGAGAAGACCUUCACCAGCUGUGUAUUGAACAUUGAAACUGCUCUAUCUUGGAAGACUUAGCAUGGCAUAUCAAAAACACCUCUACAGGCUGUAAUUCCUUAUUCCUGAUAAAGAAAUUGGAGGAUAUUGGAAAAUGUCUAGAAGUUGAUGCCUGUGGUUUCUACUACACCACCACCGGUAAUGGACUCUCACUGGGGCUCCUCUUGGAUUUCCUGUUGUUGUCCUGUGUCAUGGAGAUCCUGCUGUUUUGGAUCUGGACAAGGCGGUGGAGUCGGGGUUCUGAAAUGGAGCCCCCACCUGCGAUACACGUGUAGAGUGAAAACCUGUAAACUUUUGAGUGUUUGGAUCCGAGUGAGCCUCUGAGGUUGUCAGCGGGGCUUUGAUUCUGUGACCACAAUUAAAGAUUAAGGAUUAAGUGUAGGGCGCAGGGGAAGCCCUGAAUGAAUGACUGAAGUUCAGAAUGAAUGUGUAUUCUUUCCACGGGCAACGUCAUGAUGAGGACUCAAAGACUUUGGACCCAUGGGAAAUUGACAAAGCUGUUGCCCACAUGGCUCUGGCUCCAGAGAAGUGGGAAUGCUUUCCUCAGGAGUCUGAGUGUGUGUGUGUUCGUGGAGGAUUGUUCAGUGUGUGCAAAGAUUGCACUGCCGUUCCUUCCUCUGCAUGACUGCAGCCGAGACUAUUCGCCUGUAGACACCAGCUAGCCCCUCCCAUCCGCUCUCCCUAAUAAACACACUGAGGGUUUGCGGUGGUGGUAGCGGAACCCCACUUGACCCCAGCUUUACUGUGUGUCUUGUGUUCUU